rnacentral:rRNA from 1 species
CCUACGGGUGGCAGCAGUGAGGAAUAUUGGUCAAUGGACGAGAGUCUGAACCAGCCAAGUAGCGUGAAGGAUGACUGACCUAUGGGUUGUAAACUUCUUUUAUAUGGGAAUAAAAUGUUCCACGUGUGGGAUUUUGUAUGUACCAUAUGAAUAAGGAUCGGCUAACUCCGUGCCAGCAGCCGCGGUAAUACGGAGGAUCCGAGCGUUAUCCGGAUUUAUUGGGUUUAAAGGGAGCGUAGGUGGAUGGUUAAGUCAGUUGUGAAAGUUUGCGGCUCAACCGUAAAAUUGCAGUUGAAACUGGCAGUCUUGAGUACAGUAGAGGUGGGCGGAAUUCGUGGUGUAGCGGUGAAAUGCUUAGAUAUCACGAAGAACUCCGAUUGCGAAGGCAGUUCACUGGACUGCAACUGACACUGAGGCUCGAAAGUGUGGGUAUCAAACAGGAUUAGAUACCCCAGUAGUC